rnacentral:rRNA from 1 species
CACGUAGGGCGCAAGCGUUGUCCGGAAUUAUUGGGCGUAAAGAGCUCGUAGGCGGUCUGUUGCGUCCGCUGUGAAAACCCGGGGCUCAACCCCGGGCCUGCAUUCGAUACGGGCAGACUAGAGUUCGGUAGGGGAGUCUGGAAUUCCUGGUGUAGCGGUGAAAUGCGCAGAUAUCAGGAGGAACACCGGUGGCGAAGGCGGGACUCUGGGCCGAUACUGACGCUGAGGAGCGAAAGCGUGGGGAGCGAACAGG